rnacentral:lncRNA from 1 species
GGCACACCUCAAUCUACUUCUUCUUCUAAAUCCCAUAUUUCACUUUCAAAUCGAUUCUCCGAUUCCAAACCCAACCGCGACAACGUCGAACCACCGAGGUUGUCGUUCAAUCACUACACAUCGUGUCCCUCAUUCUCACCGGGACCCACCCCACAUUACACUUUCCGAUCAAGUUUCAUUUUUUAUGCGUCCAUUGCCCUCAACAACGCAAAUGAAUAGUGGGUUUCAUUUCUCAAAGCGUGACAUAGAAUGAAGCGUAUGAAACGAAUCAUUUAUCUUUAAAGGGUACUAAAAUGUGAAUUUAGAAUGUUGGGGUGGAUUUGAAGCGAUUAAGGUUGGCGAAAAGUGUUUAUUUGUGUUAAUCAAUUAAAUUAAAUUUUUAUAAGUUUUGGGUUUUGGGAAUAAUUGGAUUUAGAAUAAAGGGUGGUGAUGAGAGUUGAAUUCAAGGUUUUGAAGGUGCAACAAUGACGGGAGUGUCAUUGGGUCUACGGACAGGGAGCAAUGGGUCGCUGCAGCAAUUGCAAAACGGCAACGUUUUGCAGCAGCAGCCGAUGGCGUUGUCACCCCGCCUGGUACGUAGACCUUCGAAGACGCUCCUUUACAAUCCAAGAGAGAAAGAGAGGGUCUGCCCUUUUAUUAUUUGCAGGCACAUUGGAAGAGGGAGUGUGGCAAUGCUGCUUAUGAUUGCCCUUGGUUUUUCUGCUUUUGUAUUUGGUUGCUUUACACUUUACAAAGGUUAGGCUUUUACCUCCCUUUUUCUCUUUUUGUUCAUGAAAGUUGGUAGAUUUUCAUUGAUUCAAGUGAAUUAGCAACUUAGUUGUUUGAGUUAUUGAUUACUUGUACAUUAGUCCCCUGAAUUUAAUUAUGUUUAUGAGUUAGUCUACAAAUGUUUAAAUCUAUCAACUCAUGAAGGUAGAUUUGUUGGAGUGUACCUAAUAGGUAGAAGUAGAGAGGAAACUAGAAAAGCUAUAGCAGAAACCAUUAAGAAGGACUUAGAUUAAAUCACUUUUUCAUGUUUUGUCUAUGGACAUGAUUUUUGAUAGGUCAUUAUGUCAUUACGACCGUGAACUUGAUUGUUGCAUUUUCUUCUUUCCCACUAGUGCUUUUUGCAGCAUUGGCACCUUGAACCAGGGAAGAUGGCAAUGCUGCUUGUGGUUGGCCUUGGCCUCUUUGUUUUAAAAAUAUUAAGAAAUAUAAUGUUAAUAAUAAAUAUAUAAUUUUAUAUCAAUGAUAAAAUAUAUGUAUUAAAUUAAAGGGUCUAAAAAAUCUUGAACUAAAAUUGAAAUAUUUAAUUAAUAAAUCAAUUAAUAUUUAAUAGUGAUGAAAACACAAACAAAAUAAUGUUUUUAGGUCAAAAUAAGGGGUGAAAUUAUCAAAAUAAAAAACAACAUACUUAAUCUUCGAUUUCUUUCCACAAAGGAGAAGAAGAGUUUUGACGUGGAUACAUGCAAUUUUUCCUCCCUAUUCACUCCUUCUAUCAAAUGAGAGAAAUGAUCAAACUCUAUUCUCUUUCUCUUUUACUUCUCUCUCUUUCUUUCUUAAAUCACAUCUACUAAACAAAGCAUAAAGUAUCAUCUUUCCUUUUUAAACCAUUGGAACCUUUAAUAUUUAUAUUUCACACUAUAUGAUGGAGAAUUGGGAACUCAACAAAAUGUUUCUUUGUUUAUGGUUAACACAAUCAAUAAUAUAAUUAUGAGCGUAACAUAUAUUGUAAAUAUAAAUAUUUAUAUGCAAUUAUUAUAUCAUUAAUUUAAAAAUUAAUAAUAAUUAAAUACAAAUGAUAAAUAAUAAAUUAAUAAUAUAUAAAAAAUAAAUUUAAAAAAGAAACAAAACUAUAGCUUCUUGUCUCUUCCCUCCAUUCACGGCACACCUCAAUCUACUUCUUCUUCUAAAUCCCAUAUUUCACUUUCAAAUCGAUUCUCCGAUUCCAAACCCAACCGCGACAACGUCGAACCACCGAGGUUGUCGUUCAAUCACUACACAUCGUGUCCCUCAUUCUCACCGGGACCCACCCCACAUUACACUUUCCGAUCAAGUUUCAUUUUUUAUGCGUCCAUUGCCCUCAACAACGCAAAUGAAUAGUGGGUUUCAUUUCUCAAAGCGUGACAUAGAAUGAAGCGUAUGAAACGAAUCAUUUAUCUUUAAAGGGUACUAAAAUGUGAAUUUAGAAUGUUGGGGUGGAUUUGAAGCGAUUAAGGUUGGCGAAAAGUGUUUAUUUGUGUUAAUCAAUUAAAUUAAAUUUUUAUAAGUUUUGGGUUUUGGGAAUAAUUGGAUUUAGAAUAAAGGGUGGUGAUGAGAGUUGAAUUCAAGGUUUUGAAGGUGCAACAAUGACGGGAGUGUCAUUGGGUCUACGGACAGGGAGCAAUGGGUCGCUGCAGCAAUUGCAAAACGGCAACGUUUUGCAGCAGCAGCCGAUGGCGUUGUCACCCCGCCUGGUACGUAGACCUUCGAAGACGCUCCUUUACAAUCCAAGAGAGAAAGAGAGGGUCUGCCCUUUUAUUAUUUGCAGGCACAUUGGAAGAGGGAG